AGCCAUCUCACUGGGGGAAAUCAUUUUUCUCACUUACAGAGGGAGAAAUAGUAAACACCCCAAGAUCCAAAAGCUUUAUUUCCCACACAAGCUGAAAAUCCUAUGCUGAGCGGACUAGGCAGAAGUUUCAAGUGGAAAUAAUCACUAAGAUUCCUGCUCUUCUUUGGAAGCCUAGAAAAGGGGUAGCAGGCCAGAGGUUCUUAGGCCCAGGCUGCUUUUGGGUCUGGUGACCAUUUUUUGGAUACAGAGCAGUACAUCAUUUGCUUUAUGGCUGAAGUCUCCUGCUAGUGUUACCAAUGGACCAUACCUAGUUGGACAUCAGCUGGCAAGGGAGCUUGAAAAUAUCACUUAAAGGGAAGAUGGGAAAUGAAUCUGAGAAUAAACAGGUAAGUGGCCAGUACAAUGGAUUAAGUAAUGAGGAUUUAUUUUUCCUACUUAAUAAGAGAUACUGAGAUAGACACCUGUUAGUGUUGGUUUAGUGUCUAUGGGGUAAAGGCUAAUGAAUCUGAAAUUCUCUUGACCCUCCCUCAGGUACCUGAGAUGGCCUGUGCAGCUCCAUUUCUUAUGUCCUGUGUUCAAGACAAAGAGAAGAGGGAAGGACCAGGCCAAUCAUUUAUGUCUCUAUUUAUCAGAGAAACUAAUUUUUAUUUUCCAGAAUAUGCCUGGUUGACUUCCACCUGGGUUCUCACUGGUCUGGACUGAAAGGCUGAGAAACCGGGAAAAGAAUGGUCAUAACUGUCAGAGACCAAUUACGGUUCCCCAUCUGAAGUUGUGCAUAAUGUUAUUGUAAGCAAAACAGGGUUUCAGAUGGCAGCUAAGAGUAGAGAAUGGAAAGUGGGUACGUACUAACAGUGUCUGCUAGAGUCAGAGGUCUUCUGGACUCCCACUCCUUGCUGACUUGCUUCUGGCUUCAAAGCUUCAGAGCAGCUCGCAAUCCUGGGGAUCACUGAAUUUCACUCCUUGGCCAGUCUCUGUUAGAUAGCUCACUAUUUGCUCAUAACUUAGUUUAUGUUUGAAUCACUAAUACUUAUCUGUAACACACUGACCUUCCGUACUGGAUGUGCUGUCUUCUGGUUUUGUUUACAUAGGACUCACUGAAUAAGCAUUCACACAUAUUUAUUCAGCAUCUAUCCUGUACCAGGCACUGUGCUAAGGAAGUUGAGAUACAUCAGUGAACAAAACUGGCAAAUAUUGUUAACUCUUGUAGAGUUUAUAUUCUGGUGAGGAGAGACAGACAAUUAAAAGUAAACAUAGUCUGUUAGAAGGACUUUUCUCUUUUAAGAGUAUCAAAUGAUUUUAAGCCAUUUACUGAUUAUUCACUUUUCUAAGAAACACAAACACGAGAAUAAAAUAAAUGUAUCCAAAACCUACUAGCCCUUGCAGGAUAGGAAAAAGCCCUGAGCAGAAAGCCUGCAAAUAUUUUUCCUUAUGCCUAACAUAUGUGCUUUCUCACCUGUUCUAGGGUCCCACGUUUUGUUACCUCUGACAGUGGAAAGGCAACUGUAGCUCCAAGAUUCAUGUACAAGAGGGUCUCAAAACCCUUAAAGCUAUUUGAAGCUAAUGGUUUGUACAUUCUAGUUUACAACUCUGAGAAACAAUAUCAAACAAGCAUUGUCAACUCCUAGUGCUAUGGAAAAAACUCUUAAGUACCAUGGACAAAAACAGACAGAGCAAAGGGAAGAGGAUUGGAAGUUCCAGGGCGGUCAUAGCUGCAAUUUUAUAUAGAAUGUCCAGGUGGGGAUCUUUUGUGCUACAGCCUCAUCUGGUUUUUACUGGCGUGCUUCUAUUUCUUCUUUAAAAAUUCAGGCUGGCUUUUCUCAUAGUUGGGGAUCCUCACACUUUCCCUGGAUCUGGGUAAAAGCCAUGGAAGUUUUUUUGAUUCAGAGUUCCUCUGUCUUUCAAACAGUAAUAAUUCUCUGUUCUUCGAAGCUAGGAUUUAUGUGUUGUUUUGUUCCAGGUCGCUGAAGAGAGCGUAUUAAACAGCUAAAUCAUUCAGGAUUAAAAAAAAAUAAAUCUGCUUUUGCC
rnacentral:lncRNA from 1 species